rnacentral:lncRNA from 1 species
GUGGUCCAAGACUAGUAGAAUUUGUGUCGGACCAGUAGAUUUUGUCAGCUGGUGAUCCGGCGGACCGGACCAGUAGAAACUUUUCAUUAAAAUCACUGAUUGCAUCUCUAUCUCGGUUUGUUUUUACCAAAAAAUAAACAUGAGAAAUAAUUUUAGGGUAGUGGAGGUACUAUUUUAAAAGUAUUUAUUUAUAUCUCAGGUGAGCGCACUACACAACAACACAAAAUGUGGAAAUUUUUGGAUGGAGUUAAAACGCCGGGAAAAACAAAUUAAUUAAUUAAGCGACAUUCAAAAGGAAGAUUUUUCAGACUGACAAAAGGA